GCCAGUUUAGCUCAGUGGCAAGACGUACGGCUCUUAACGCAAGGUUCGUGGGUUCAAAUCCCGGGCUGAGCG